rnacentral:lncRNA from 1 species
GGGGGUGGGGGGGUUCAGGCUCGGCUAGCACAGCAGCCGGGCUGGGACAGAGCACCGGCACCGGCGGCAGCGGCGGCAGCGGCACUCCCCACCCUCCAGCAGCACCCACCCAGCCACUGAGCCACCGGCCCCGGGGUAAGCAACAGCUCACACACACAGCAGCGGCGGCGGCGGCGGCGGCGGCGGCGGCAGCAGCAGCAGCAUCUGUGACAGACAGUUCAGGCGCUUCGGGUUACUACCCUGAGCCAAUAAGGGAAAUUAGAGACAGAAAAGGAGAUUACAUAGAGAUCAGAUAUAGAAUGUAGACCUAUAGGUGUAUUAUAGACACAAUACACGGACACACAUGCAUUUGCCUAGACCUACAUAUGCGCAUACAGGAAUCUAAGGCUACACACUCAUCUCUACACUUGAAAAUCUCUAAACACAUACGUCCAUAACUGCUAUGUGUGUGUAGGUACCUGAAUGAAAGCAUGCAGGUGUUGGUUAAAAACAAAACAAAACAAAACAAAAAACCCUGGACACACACCAACUCAGGUUGAAAUUUCAGCCAAACUAUAAAAGACACCUCCCAUUAAAUCGCUUUAGUCACCUCUAUGUUCUCCAACGUUACACGACAAUAUACAAUUCUGAAAUCAGUUAUGGAAUCCGACAAUUAUUCACAAAAUGUGCCGAAAAUGUACUUUAGGGAGAUACUGUUGCUAUAUAUGGUAAGGUAAGGACUAACCUAAUGGCUGAGUUUCCGUUUUUUAAUGUUUUACGUGUAGCCAUCUGACCACUUUUUAUUGGGUGCCUUAUCAAAUGAGGACUUUAGUGUAGGGCUUGUAAAAACUAGAUCUAGAGGCAAAGCUGGCUUUACCAAAGGAAUUAAGGUCUAGGUGCUGAGAAAUGAGUGCUGGAGAGUAUGGAAUGGAAAGUGACACACUGCUGUACAUUGGAAAGAAAAAUAGUGUAUGUAUUCGGGAUAGCCUUGGGGCAGGGCGAACUCUUGCCCUAGACGCUCAUGCAGAUGACACUACAAUGAAGCAUAAAAUGAAUAGACAAACAGCACAAGCAAAGGUAAUUUUAAAAUUAAUAUCUAAGAAAACCCAAAUGACAGAACCUAAAAUGUACUGUUUUCUAUGUAGCAUGCCCAUAGUAUUUCAUGUAGCUCAUAUACACAGCGUAUGCAAUAUUCAAAAUUCAAGAAAACCCAAGUUUCCAUAUUUGUAG